rnacentral:rRNA from 1 species
AACGAACGCUGGCGGCAGGCCUAACACAUGCAAGUCGAACGGGACCUUCGGGUCUAGUGGCGGACGGGUGAGUAACGCGUGGGAACGUGCCCUUUGGUUCGGAAUAGCCUCGGGAAACUGGGAGUAAUACCGGAUGAGCCCUUCGGGGGAAAGAUUUAUCGCCAAAGGAUCGGCCCGCGUUGGAUUAGGUAGUUGGUGGGGUAAUGGCCUACCAAGCCGACGAUCCAUAGCUGGUUUGAGAGGAUGAUCAGCCACACUGGGACUGAGACACGGCCCAGACUCCUACGGGAGGCAGCAGUGGGGAAUCUUAGACAAUGGGGGAAACCCUGAUCUAGCCAUGCCGCGUGAGCGAUGAAGGCCUUAGGGUUGUAAAGCUCUUUCAGUGGGGAAGAUAAUGACGGUACCCACAGAAGAAGCCCCGGCUAACUCCGUG